CGCGCUGAGAAUCUAGCUUCAGAAUGGGGACAACAGAGGGAAACCGCUGCUAAUACCCGAUGUGCCGAGAGGUGAAAGAUUUAUCGUCUGAAGAUGAGCUCGCGUCCGAUUAGCUAGUUGGUAGGGUAAAAGCCUACCAAGGCGACGAUCGGUAGCUGGUCUGAGAGGAUGACCAGCCACACUGGGACUGAGACACGGCCCAGACUCCUACGGGAGGCAGCAGUGGGGAAUUUUCCGCAAUGGGCGAAAGCCUGACGGAGCAAGACCGCGUGAGGGAGGAAGGCUCUUGGGUUGUAAACCUCUUUUCUCUGGGAAGAAGAUCUGACGGUACCAGAGGAAUCAGCAUCGGCUAACUCCGUGCCAGCCACCGCGGUAAUACGGAGGAUGCCAGCGUUAUCUGGAAUUAUUGGGCGUAAAGCGUCCGUAGGUGGCCGCUCUAGUCAGCCGGUAAAAUCCCUAGCUUAACCAUUGACAGGCGGUGGAAACUGAAUAGCUAGAGUGUGGUAGGGGUAGAGGGAAUUCCCAGUGUAGCGGUGAAAUGCGUAGAGAUUGGGAAGAACACCGGUGGCGAAAGCGCUCUGCUGGACCACAACUGACACUCACAGGACGAAAG
rnacentral:rRNA from 1 species